rnacentral:rRNA from 1 species
CCACACUUGGGUCAUGAGACUCCGGCCGCAGACUCCUGACACGUAGGCCAGCGAGUGGGGGAAUUUUUGGAGCAAUGCGGGGCAAACCCUGAAUCCAGCAAAUACCGCGUGUAUGAAGAAGCGACUUCAGGGUUGCUAAAGCACUUUUAGUCCGGAAAGAAAUCGCGCUGGCUAUAUACCUGGCGAGGAUGACGGUACCGGAAGAAUAAGCACCGGCUAACUACGUGCCAGCAGCCGCGGUAAUACGUAGGGUGCGAACGUUAAUCGGAAUUACUGGGCGUAAAGCGUGCGCAGGCGGUUUUGUAAGACAGGCGUGAAAACCCCGAGCUCGAACUUGGGAAUGGCGCUUGUGACUGCGACGGCUAGAGUAUGGCAGAGGGGGGUAGAAUCCCGCGUGUAGCAGUGAAAUGCGUAGAGAUGCGGAGGAAUACCGAUGGCGAAGG